CUUCGGUACAUCGGUGACAGGUGGUGCAUGGUUGUCGUCAGCUCGUGUCGUGAGAUGUUGGGUUAAGUCCCGCAACGAGCGCAACCCUAUUGUUAGUUGCCAUCAUUCAGUUGGGCACUCUAGCGAGACUGCCGGUAAUAACCGGAGGAAGUGGGGAUGACGUCAAAUCAUCAUGCCCCUUAUGACCUGGGCUACACACGUGCUACAAUGGUUGGUACAACGAGUUGCGAGUCGGUGACGGCGAGCUAAUCUCUUAAAGCCAAUCUCAGUUCGGAUUGUAGGCUGCAACUCGCCUACAUGAAGUCGGAAUCGCUAGUAAUCGCGGAUCAGCACGCCCGCGGUCGAAUACGUUCCGGCCUU
rnacentral:rRNA from 1 species